GCCUGGGUGGCUCAGUCGGUUAAGUGUCUGACUUCAGCUCAGGUCAUGAUCUCACGGUUCGUGGGUUCGAACCCCGCGUCGGGCU
rnacentral:tRNA from 1 species